UACGUAGGGGACGAGCGUUGUCCGGAUUCAUUGGGCGUAAAGCGCGCGUAGGCGGCUCGGAAAGUCGGUCGUGAAAUGCCGGGGCUCAACCCCGGGACUGCGUCCGAUACUCCCGAGCUGGAGGCAGGUAGGGGAGAUCGGAAUUCCUGGUGUAGCGGUGAAAUGCGCAGAUAUCAGGAGGAACACCGGUAGCGAAGGCGGAUCUCUGGGCCUUGCCUGACGCUGAGGCGCGAAAGCUAGGGGAGCGAACAGG
rnacentral:rRNA from 1 species